rnacentral:lncRNA from 1 species
AUUCAACGAUUCACGGCUUAGAAUAUUGUGCCCUUUUGUACAAACAAGCAAUCACAAAGACCCAAACCCUAAGUGGAUGUCAACGUUGCUUCUAUGGAUCAGAAGCAUUCAACAAAAUCACAAACACUAUUCUCACUCAUUUGGGAGUCACAGAGACUCACUUUCACUCGGAAAACCAGAGAAAUCAUCCGACCAAGAGUUGAAGAUGAUGAGAGAGAAGAAGAAAAGGGAACCAACAAAUGCACAAAGAGAAUUCUAGAAGGCACCACAUAAAUCAG